rnacentral:rRNA from 1 species
GCUGCCUMCUUGGAAGAAUGAGAUUUUUUACCGUUAUAAAUCUAAUAAAUUGAUCUUAUCAAAUAAAGUUCUAAAUGUAUUAUUGAUAAUGACGGUAUACAUAUUAUGCCUUGACUAAUUACGUGCCAGCAGUCGCGGUAAUACGUAAGAGGCUAGUGUUAUUCAUCUUAAAUAGGUUUAAAGGGUACUUAGACGGUAAAAUUUUGCCUUAAUAAAGGUACAUUUUUACUAGAGUUUUAUGAAAGAAGAUAGUACUUGAGGUGGUAGAGUUAAUAUUUGAUGAUACCUUGGGGACUGGUUAAGGCGAAGGCAAUCUUUUAUGUAAAAACUGACGUUAAAGGACGAAGGCACAGAGAACGAACAGGAUUAGAUACCCCAGUAGUCUUUGCAGAGAAUGAUGAAUGCCAUAAAUUAGAAGAUUUUCAUGUGUGGCUCCGCCCAGAAUGAAAAAACUUGGUUUAUAAAUGAAAGUGUAAGCAUUUCACCUCAAGAGUAAUGUGGCAACGCAGGAACUGAAAUCACUAGACCGUUUCUGACCCCAGCAGUGAAGUAUGUUAUUUAAUUCGAUGAUCCACGAAAAACCUUACCACAAUUUGAAUAUUAUUAAUUUAAUUUCUCUAACUAGAAUAUCUAACUAGAUAAAUUUUAAUAAUACAAGUGUUGCACGGCUGUUUUCAGUUAAUGUUGUGAAACUGCGGAUACGUCCGUGUAAUUAACGAAUACCCCGGCUUUAUUUAUAUGUUUGUUAAUAUAGAGCAUUUUCUAGUAUUUUCACAAUCACUAGUAUAAAAGGGAAUAAGACAAGUCAUCAUGGCCUAGAUAUUGUGGGCUAUAGACGUGCCGCAUAUUCCUNACAAAGAGAAGCAAAAAUGUAAUUUAAGCUAAUCUCAAAAAAAAGGGA